rnacentral:rRNA from 1 species
AUGUCUUUUGUCGGGCGAGUAGACCCGUCAAUGACAUACGCGGAUAAUAUUUAUGUACAUAAAUUUGGCGCACCCAACUCAAACUUUGCUGCAAGAAGAUUUGGCUCUGACACGCAGUUGUUCCGUUAUGGCCCUGAACCAUUCAAUUCCGAGGACUAUGGACAUAUGGGUUUCCCUGAAGCACCAUCUGCUGCAUUCCAGAGCUCCUUUUACAACCAGCAAGCUUCACUAACACCCUGCUCUGAUGCAGCAAAAGACUCACCGGUGUGCUCCAAUAUCUCUCAACAGAACUCCCAGUCUAUAUCAGAUAAUCAGAGUUCUGGACUUGAAGUAGAGUUCGAUGAUGAGAUCAGGCUGAAGCUUCAAGAGCUGGAGCAUGCUUUACUUGAUGAUGGAGAUGACAUCUUGUUCGAAGUUUCCCAGGCGGGUUGCAUCAGUGAUGAAUGGGCCGAUCCCAUGAAGGAUGUCUUGCUUGCAAAUUCUCCGAAAGAAUCAGAAUCAAGCAUUAGUUGUGCAGGCAGCAACAGCGGAGAAGCACGGACCCCAAAGCAGUUGCUCUUUGACUGUGCUACGGCAUUAGCUGAAUAUAAUGUAGAUGAAGCACAGGCAAUCAUAACGGACCUCCGGCAGAUGGUCUCAAUCCAAGGGGACCCUUCUCACAGGAUUGCAGCUUAUCUAGUGGAGGGCCUUGCUGCAAGGAUAGUAGCUUCAGGGACAGGCAUCUACAAGGCAUUGACAUGCAAGGACCCUCCAACUCUGUAUCAGCUGUCAGCAAUGCAAAUCCUCUUUGAGAUCUGUCCAUGCUAUCGAUUUGGUUUCAUGGCUGCUAAUUAUGCCAUACUUGAAGCCUGCAAAGGCGAAGAAAGGAUGCAUAUUAUAGACUUUGACAUCAACCAAGGCAGCCAGUAUAUUACACUGAUGCAGUUUAUGAAAGAUGAUGCCAACAAACCACGCCAUUUGAGAAUAACUGGUGUGGAUGAUCACGAGACAGUACAGAGGACUGUUGGAGGUCUGAAGGUCAUUGGGCAACGCCUGGAGAAGCUUGCGGAGGACUGCGGAAUAUCUUUUGAGUUCAGGGCAGUGGGUGCUGACAUCGGGGAUGUCACACCUGCAAUGCUAGAUUGCCGUCCCGGGGAAGCACUAGUUGUGAAUUUUGCAUUCCAGCUGCACCACCUUCCUGAUGAAAGUGUUUCGAUCAUGAACGAACGGGAUCAGCUCCUUCGUAUGGUGAAGGGCCUUCAACCAAAGCUUGUGACCCUGGUUGAGCAGGAUGCUAAUACUAAUACUGCUCCAUUUCAGACAAGGUUCCGUGAGGUCUAUGACUACUACUCCGCUCUUUUCGAUUCACUGGACGCAACACUUCCAAGGGAAAGUCCAGAUAGAAUGAAUGUGGAAAGGCAAUGCCUUGCACGGGAAAUUGUGAACAUCUUGGCUUGCGAAGGCCCUGAUCGCGUGGAGAGGUACGAAGUUGCCGGAAAAUGGAGGGCGAGAAUGACGAUGGCUGGAUUCGCACCGUGCCCAUUUAGCAGCAACGUCAUCGGAGGAAUAAGAUCGCUGCUGAGCUCGUACUGCGACAGGUACAAGUUCGAGGAGGACCAUGGGGGACUUCACUUCGGCUGGGGAGAGAAAACGCUCAUCGUCGCCUCCGCAUGGCAAUAG